rnacentral:rRNA from 1 species
GACGAACGCUGGCGGCGUGCUUAACACAUGCAAGUCGAACGGAAAGGCCCUGCUUUUGUGGGGUGCUCGAGUGGCGAACGGGUGAGUAACACGUGAGUAACCUGCCCUUGACUUUGGGAUAACUUCAGGAAACUGGGGCUAAUACCGGAUAGGAGCUCCUGCUGCAUGGUGGGGGUUGGAAAGUUUCGGCGGUUGGGGAUGGACUCGCGGCUUAUCAGCUUGUUGGUGGGGUAGUGGCUUACCAAGGCUUUGACGGGUACCCGGCCUGAGAGGGUGACCGGCCACAUUGGGACUGAGAUACGGCGCAGACUCCUACGGGAGGCAGCAGUGGGGAAUAUUGCACAAUGGGCGGAAGCCUGAUGCAGCAACGCCGCGUGCGGGAUGACGGCCUUCGGGUUGUAAACCGCUUUCGCCUGUGUCGAAGCGUGAGUGACGGUAAUGGGUAAAGAAGCACCGGCUAACUACGUG